rnacentral:hammerhead_ribozyme from 17 species
CAAGCGUCUGGAGUAAGGAGUCGCUGCCAUCGGCUCCACUGAUGAGUCUAGGGCAGCAACUCUCCGAGACGAAACGCAAU